UACGAAGGGGGCUAGCGUUGUUCGGAAUUACUGGGCGUAAAGCGCACGUAGGCGGACUGUUAAGUCAGGGGUGAAAUCCUGGAGCUCAACUCCAGAACUGCCUUUGAUACUGAUGGUCUCGAGUCCGGAAGAGGUGAGUGGAAUUCCGAGUGUAGAGGUGAAAUUCGUAGAUAUUCGCAAGAACACCAGUGGCGAAGGCGGCUCACUGGCCCGGUACUGACGCUGAGGUGCGAAAGCGUGGGGAGCAAACAGG
rnacentral:rRNA from 1 species